GCUUCAAUGUCCCCCAGUCUCGGCUGCUCCUCUUCUUUCUCCUAUUGUGAACCCGGCUGCUACAUGUCCCCCAGUUUGGGCUGCUCCUCUUUCUCCUACUGUGAACCCGGCAUUCUUUGGAUCGAUGCUUCAAUGGCCCCAAGUUUCGUCUGCGGCUACUGUGAACCCGGCUGCUCCAUGUCCCCUAGUUUCGGCCGUUGCUCGUUCUCCUCCUACUGUGAACCCGGCUGCUACAUGUCCCCCAUUUUGGGCUGCUCCUCUUUCUCCUACUGUGAACCCGGCAUUCUUUGGAUCGAUGCUUCAAUGGCCCCAAGUUUCGUCUGCGGCUCCUCUUUCCCCUCUUAGUGCAAACCCGGCUACUCCAUGUCCCCUAGUUUCGGCCGUUGCUCGUUCUCCUCCUACUGUGAACCCGGCUGCUACAUGUCCCCCAGUUUGGGCUGCUCCUCUUUCUCCUACUGUGAACCCGGCAUUCUUUGGAUCGAUGCUUCAAUGGCCCUCAGUUUCGUCUGCGGCUCCUCUUUCCCCUCCUACUGUGAACCCGGCUGCUCCAUGCCCCCCGGUUUCGGCUGCUCCUCUUACUGUGAACCCGGGUUUCUUUGUAUCGAUGCUUCCUACUGUGAACCCGGCUUUCCUCGGGUCGGAAACGACGUCUGCUGGAGCGGCUGAGAUGUGGCCAAAUCCUGGAAUUGGGGCGCGGUGGGGAGUUGAAGAGCAGCCGAGCAAAGGGGAAGAUUCUGUGCAGCAGGGAGAAGCGAGCAACGAGAAGAAGGAUAGGGCGAAGCCGGAAACAGAUCGGGAGACACAGCGUGAUACAGAAACGGGGCAGAGCAGGAGCCGGGAAGUGGAGAGGGACGAAACGCCGCGGGAGAGACGUAGGGAGGAGAGCGACGGGGGAAGGCGAGAAGAUGCCCGAAAGGGAUCGGCACGGCGCUGGGUACAGGCAUGCCGACCGUCACAGUCAUCGGGUUGGUCUGCAGCAGGGAGAAGGUAGCCAUGGGAAGAAGGAUGACGAGAAGAUGCCCGAAAGGGAUCGGGAACCCUCUCACCCUCAGCAAAGUGAGACAAUCCUUCCACCGGAAAACAAGAUUGGUCAGACGGACAUGACGGAGUGGAGAUGGUGAUCCUGAAACACACUAGUUUUGCUGUUAUAACACUGUACAGACUGAGGUUAAUAACAUACUGGAAAAUUACUGGAAGAUUGUGAAGACAUUACCCCUCUUUCUUAUCCCUCUAUCUUGGCCAGCUAGCAUGUCACUUCA